AUUGAACGCUGGCGGCAUGCCUUACACAUGCAAGUCGAACGGCAGCACGGGAGCAAUCCUGGUGGCGAGUGGCGAACGGGUGAGUAAUAUAUCGGAACGUGCCCAGUCGUGGGGGAUAACGCAGCGAAAGCUGUGCUAAUACCGCAUACGAUCUACGGAUGAAAGCGGGGGAUCGCAAGACCUCGCGCGAUUGGAGCGGCCGAUAUAAGAUUAGCUAGUUGGUGAGGUAAAGGCUCACCAAGGCGACGACCUGUAGCUGGUCUGAGAGGACGACCAGCCACACUGGAACUGAGACACGGUCCAGACUCCUACGGGAGGCAGCAGUGGGGAAUUUUGGACAAUGGGCGAAAGCCUGAUCCAGCAAUGCCGCGUGCAGGAUGAAGGCCUUCGGGUUGUAAACUGCUUUUGUACGGAACGAAACGGUGAGCUCUAAUACAGUUUGCUAAUGACGGUACCGUAAGAAUAAGCACCGGCUAACUACGUGCCAGCAGCCGCCGUAA
rnacentral:rRNA from 1 species